CCUACGGGAGGCAGCAGUGAGGAAUAUUGGUCAAUGGGCGCGAGCCUGAACCAGCCAAGUCGCGUGAGAGAAGACGGUCCUAUGGAUUGUAAACCUCUUUUGUCGGGGAGCAAAAGACGCCACGCGUGGCGUUCCGAGAGUACCCGAAGAAAAAGCAUCGGCUAACUCCGUGCCAGCAGCCGCGGUAAUACGGAGGAUGCGAGCGUUAUCCGGAUUUAUUGGGUUUAAAGGGUGCGCAGGCGGAAGAUCAAGUCAGCGGUAAAAUUGAGGGGCUCAACCUCUUCGAGCCGUUGAAACUGGUUGUCUUGAGUGAGCGAGAAGUAUGCGGAAGGCGUGGUGUAGCGGUGAAAUGCAUAGAUAUCACGCAGAACUCCGAUUGCGAAGGCAGCAUACCGGCGCUCAACUGACGCUCAUGCACGAAAGUGUGGGUAUCGAACAGGAUUAGAUACCCGAGUAGUC
rnacentral:rRNA from 1 species